CUGGAGGCCAGGGCUGGAGGCCAGGGGGAGGCCAGGGCGGGCGGAGCAGGUGCAGGAGCUGUUGCUGCCAGGCGGCUGCCAGGAACCUCUGCGCUCUGGAAGUGUCCCCUCCUCCUCUCACUCGCCAAGGUCCAUCCAGCCCACAUCAAGUGACAAAGUGGACCGGCCACCUGCGGCCAGACGAGGCUGGAGGGACUCCAGGCGGUGCUGGCAGGUGGCCGGGGCUGUGGUACCGUCCCCUGGGCCUGGCCCGGCGCUGGGCGGAGCAGGUGGCCAGCUGAGCGGGGCCAGGUGUGGGGACAGCCCUGCCCACGAGACCCCGGCUGACCUGUCCCUGCGCCCCUUUGUCCAUGCACACCACGGGGCAGUGCGGGGGACAGAACCAGUGUGAGGUGCCACCAGGGCGUCCCCAGGUGUGGGGACAGAAGCCUGCGUCCCUGGACUCGCUGCCAUGAGGGGUCAGGAGGGCCUCACCCGCCAGACCACGCCACCUCCAAGACGGCCCCCGGGAGGGGAGCAUGGGCCCGGGCGGGUGGCACUGCCGUCCUGCGCUGCGGAACGGGGUCGGGGGUCUCCCUGGGCAGGAGCAUGUGGCCCCCGCAGCUGCCCAUGGCCAGCCGAGGACAGCACUCCCCCAGGGCCGUCCCCAGGCAUCACGGCCUCCCCCUCCCCCGAGGCUCAGGAUCCUGCUCAACGAGGCCCCAGGGCCACCCCCAGGGACCUGGUUUUCACUGCUGUGUGACUGUCACAGCCUGUGCUGGCCACCUGUGUCCCUGCUUGCCUGGCCCCCCUCCCCACAGGCAGGGCCGAGGGCCUGGAGCCCUGGCUGACGCUCGAGCAGCGAGUUCAGGGCCAGGUCCAGGGGCCUCCCGUCCAGCCGGGCCCGGGGCAGCACAGGGACCGGGGACACAGGGAGCCGAGGCCCGGGAGGACGGGAGGGAUGGAGGCCCUGCCCGGGAGGACAGGCGAGCAGGACCUCAACCCAGCAAGACCCCGUGCGGGCAGACCCCUGGGGACCUGCCCCCACUGCCUUGCGCAGCCCCGUGACCUUGCUGUGACCUUGCUCCAUCUUGGCACGGUGCCCUCAAUGCGCUGGGCUCAGCUCCGGGGCAAUCACACUGUCUUUGCGGCCGUCCUGCCCAGCCACUCCCGAGGGCCCGGCACGCACAGCUGCGGGCAGUCUGCGUGUCGAGGACAGGAAGCGUCUGUCUUUAUGUUCCGGCAUUAACUAGCCUCGAUCUUAUUGAAAUGGCAUUUUCUUUCUCCUCCUAAUAACCAAGAAUGUAUUUUUUUAGCUCUUCCGCCAUCACUUGACUCUCAAGUCUGAAUUGUCUGAAGGCUGAAAGUAUUUCUGACUACAUCCACAUUUUAACAUUUUCCUCUCCUGAAAGAGGAAAGUAGGAAAGAAAAAGAAAAAUGAAAAAAUGAUUGUAUUAACAGGAGUAUGGAGAGCAAAAAAGGGGAGGUGAUUAUCAUGCUUUCGCUGCUUGCUGCCUCCCUAGGAGGAGGGUGUCCAACUCCAAAACACUGAAAAACGAAGCAUAAAGAAGCAGCAUUCAGGAUAGGGUAUAACAUGUAACACAUGCCAUUUGUUUAGUUUUCAUUCACAGCAUUUAUGGAGCACCUAAUGUGUAUUGGGUGCUGUCCAAGGUGCUGAAGCGACACACAUGAGCAAAGCAGGUAAUGAUCCCUGCCUUGAGGCACAGAGAAUGUGUGGGGAGACGGUGUCCAGUUAGUGACACGAUUAACCAUGAUGGUUACCAAUUUCAGUGCGAGCUACUCAGCAAGGGAGAGGCGGCCAGAAGAGGACUUCAGCUGACUCCUCAGCUGUGCCGCUCUCUGCCUGCCUGCUCCAUCCUCCCCUGCACGGAGCCCCUGCUGCCCCAGGACCUUUGCACAUGCUGUUCUCUUUACCCAGAAUGCUCUCCCCACCCAGGUCCUUGUGGGUCCAGGAGUGAGGGGCCCCGUGCAGUCCUGAGCAGGGCCAUAUUUGGGGCACACAAGGGACAACCAAGGGGCCAAGGAGCCAGAGGAGAGAGGAAGGACCAGCAUCCACAUGUUGACCACGUGCUGCGUGCGUCCUCAGCUGAGCGCUGGGGCCGCCGGGCAGCCACGGAGGGGAACACUCCCCACCCCUUACAGACGAGGACACAGGUCAGGGACACAGGACUCCCAGGCCACAGGGCUGCCGAGUGCUGUGUCUGGCUGGGACCCAGGGAUCCCUCCGUUGUACCAAAUUCCAGUCCUAAGGGCCCGGCGGAGAGGAGGGCGGAG
rnacentral:lncRNA from 1 species